UUCGUUAACGAACGAGACCUUAACCUACUAAAUAGUACUUGUGAAAUAUUUUUUUUUUAUAAGAACUUCUUAGAGGGACAAACUGUGUAAACAGUGGGAAGAUUAAGGCAAUAACAGGUCUGUGAUGCCCUUUAGAUGUUCUGGGCCGCACGCGCGCUACACUGAUAAAGACAGAAAGUGUAUAACCUUUGCUGGAAAGCCUGGGUAAUCUUUUCUAAACUUUAUCGUGAUUGGGAUAGACAAUUGCAAUUAUUUGUCUUGAACGAGGAAUUCCUAGUAAGCGCAAGUCAUCAGCUUGCGUUGAUUACGUCCCUGCCCUUUGUACACACCGCCCGUCGAUAAUACCGAUUGAAUGGUUG
rnacentral:rRNA from 1 species